rnacentral:rRNA from 1 species
GACGAACGCUGACGGCGUGCUUAACACAUGCAAGUCGAACGGUGAAGCGAGUGCUUGCACUCGUGGAUCAGUGGCGAACGGGUGAGUAACACGUGAGUAACCUGCCCAUCACUCUGGGAUAAGCACUGGAAACGGUGUCUAAUACUGGAUACGACCAACCCUUGCAUGGGGUGUUGGUGGAAAGAUUUAUCGGUGAUGGAUGGACUCGCGGCCUAUCAGCUUGUUGGCGGGGUAAUGGCCCACCAAGGCGAUGACGGGUAGCCGGCCUGAGAGGGUGACCGGCCACACUGGGACUGAGACACGGCCCAGACUCCUACGGGAGGCAGCAGUGGGGAAUAUUGCACAAUGGGCGAAAGCCUGAUGCGGCGACGCCGCGUGAGGGAUGACGGCCUUCGGGUUGUAAACCUCUUUCAGCAGGGAAGAAGCGAAAGUGACGGUACCUGCAGAAGAAGCACCGGCUAACUACGUG